AAAAAACGGGAAAAGUGGGGUUGUUCAAUUUACAAAUAGUAAACAUGUUUGUUUAAUAUGAACAAAUUAUGUUUACCUUCGAAACAUAAUAUAAUCUUGAAAAUCACACAUAAUUUCUUGCUGUGUUACUUUUAUAUAUUUAAAUCAUGUUGACAAAACAUGAAAUAGUUAUGCUUGAUCCUUUGCCCCUUAAUUUUGGAUAAGUAAACCCCAUCGGUGAAGAAGAAUUCCAGGAGGAGAAACUUUGCAGUCAGCCAUUUUAGAGAAGCUACAAGCACCUGCUCUGGCUGGAGGAACUUAAAAAAGAGCUCAUCACACAACACUUCCAACUGCUCCUCCCUGAUCAUGCUGGGCUCCAUGCUCCAGUCUUCACUGAGUUAGACUGCUGAACUUCUCGCCAAUAUAAGCAAGUUCAGGGGUUUGUUCAAAGUACAGUUGUGUAAUCUAGACGCUUUAACUAAACUUCAAAUGUGAACUGUGCACACAAAUAUCUUCUGUGUUCUUCAGAAUGAAGACCAUGCAGCAAUCCAGGAGGCAAUCGAGGACACCACGGUGGGAACUUCCCUCCUAAUGGAAACUGGCAGUGGUGAGGAAGAGGACAUUCUCGUGGUCCACAUCUCCCAGGCUGUGGUGGUCGACCCACCAAGUGUCUGAGUGGCAGUUGCCAAGGCUUUUUUGGCCUUAUUUACAGCACAAAUCUGAUAACCAUCCUCAUCUCAGAAACACCUUGUCAUGGGGCCCGUGACUUUGCUCCUGCUAUGAUCUCCUGGAGGCCCUUCCCUUCUUGAGCUCUCCCGCUGGUCACAGGUGCUCUGUAUUAUGUUGAUUGGUUUGUCUAUUUAUGCAGUGUCUGAUCUUGUUUCUGUGUCGGAGCGUCUUCGUUCUACGCUCUGGUGUUAUGGUUCUCUGGCAUUAAAGCCCCUUCGAGUGAA